rnacentral:rRNA from 1 species
CCCUUAGAUGUUCUGGGCCGCACGCGCGCUACACUGAUGAAUUCAACGAGUCUAAAACCUGGUCUGAUAGGGCUGGGUAAUCUUUUGAAUGUGCAUCGUGAUUGGGAUAGAUGAUUGCAAUUCUUCAUCUUCAACGAGGAAUGCCUAGUAAACGCAAGUCAUCAGCUUGCAUUGAUUACGUCCCUGCCCUUUGUACACACCGCCCGUCGCUCCUACCGAUUGAAUGUUCCGAUGAAUACCAUGGACUGAGAGUAUGAAUGGGUUCGCCUAUUUCUGCUUCUCGGGAAGUGGAGUAAAUCUUAACAUUUAGAGGAAGGAGAAGUCGUAACA